AGGAUCAUUAAAGAAAUUUAAUAAUUUUGAUAUUGGAUUUUUUUGUUUUGGCAAGAGCGUGAGAGCUUUUACUGGGCAAGAAGACAAGAGAUGGAGAGUCCAGCCGGGCCUGCGCUUAAGUGCGCGGUCUUGCUAGGCUUGCAAAUUUCUUUCUUGCUAUUCCAAACAGUGAGACUUCUCUGUUUUUGUUAUAGGACAAUUAAAACCGUUUCAAUACAACACACUGUGGAGUUUUUAUACUUUUGCAACUUUUUCUUUGGGCUUCGAGCAAUCGAGCCCAGAGGUAACAAACACAAACAAUUUUAUUUAUUCAUUAAAUUUUUGUCAAAAACAAGAAUUUUCGUAACUGGAAAUUUUAAAAAUAAUUAAAAACUUUCAACAACGGAUCUCUUGGUUCUCGCAUCGAUGAAGAACGCAGCGAAAUGCGAUACGUAAUGUGAAUUGCAGAAUUCCGUGAAUCAUCGAAUCUUUGAACGCACAUUGCGCCCCUUGGUAUUCCAGGGGGCAUGCCUGUUUGAGCGUCAUUUCCUUCUCAAACAUUCUGUUUGGUAGUGAGUGAUACUCUCUGGAGUUAACUUGAAAUUGCUGGCCUUUUCAUUGGAUGUUUUUUUUCCAAAGAGAGGUUUCUCUGCGUGCUUGAGGUAUAAUGCAAGUACGGUCGUUUUAGGUUUUACCAACUGCGGCUAAUCUUUUUUGUACUGAGCGUAUUGAAACGUUAUCGAUAAGAAGAGAGCGUCUAGGCGAACAAUGUUCUUAAAGUUUGACCUCAAAUCAGGUAGGAGUACCCGCUGAACUUAAGCAUAUCAAUAAGCGGAGGA
rnacentral:rRNA from 1 species